GACGAACGCUGGCGGCGUGCUUAAUACAUGCAAGUCGAGCGAACAGACGCGGAGCUUGUUCCUCUGACGUUAGCCGCGGAGGGGAGAGAAACACGUGGAUAAUCCACCUAUAAGAGUGGGAAAACUUCGGGAAACCGGCGCAAAUACCGGAUAAGAUAUUGAAGCGCAUGGUUGAAUAGUGAAAGACGGUUUUUCUGUCACUAAUAGAUGGAUCCGGGCCGCAUUAGCUAGUUGGUAAGGUAACGGCUUAUCAAGGCAACGAGGCGUAGCCGAACUGAGAGGGUGAUCGGCGACACUGGAAGUUGAACGCGGUCCAGACUCCUGCGGGAGGCCGCAGUCGCGAAUCGUCCGCAAUGGGCGGAAGCUUGACGGAGCGACGCCGAGUCAGUGAUGACGGUCUUCGGAUCGUAAUACUCUGUUACGGGGGGAGAACAAAUGUGUAAGUUGCUAUGCAGGUCUUGACGGUACCUAGUCAGGAAGCCACGGCUAACUACGUG
rnacentral:rRNA from 1 species